AUCCAUGUUUUACACAGCGGAUGCCCUUCCAGACUCCUGUUUCGCACUCCAGUCCAGCAGGUGGCGGUAAAGCGCAUUUAAGUUUGACAACCGCCAAAAUACUGAAGAAGUUGACAAACCGAAAGCGUCAAAGAGCUCACAUCGUGUUCCUGCUGCACAAGAGCGUCUGUACUUCUGCAUGAUAAAGUGUCCAAACGCAGAGAAAAACUGCUGAAGUG